rnacentral:rRNA from 1 species
CCUACGGGUGGCAGCAGUGGGGAAUAUUGCACAAUGGGGGAAACCCUGAUGCAGCGACGCCGCGUGAGUGAAGAAGUACUUCGUUAUUUAAAGCUCUUUCAGUAGGGAAGUAAAUGACUCUACCUGUGUAAUUAGCUCCGGCUAACUACGUGACAGCAGCCGCGGUAAUACGUAGGGGGCCAGCGUUAUCCGGAUUUACUGGGUGUAAAGGGAGCGUAGACGGCUGUGCAAGUCUGGAGUGAAAGGGGUGGGCUCAACCGUCGGACUGCUGUGGAAACUGUAAGGCUGGAGUGCAGGAGAGGUGAGUGGAAUUCGUGGUGUAGCGGUGAAAUGCGUAGAUAUGAGGAGGAACACCGGUGGCGAAGGCGGCUUACUGGACUGUAACUGACGUUGAGGCUCGAAAGCGUGGGGAGCAAACAGGAUUAGAUACCCCAGUAGUC